rnacentral:lncRNA from 1 species
GUGGGUCUUUACACAUUCUACCAUCACAACAGAUGUUUCUACUACAGUGAAUAUUAACCAAUGAGGUGGGUCUUUCCACAUUCUACCAACACAACAGAUGUUAAUACUACAGUGAAUAUUAACCAAUGAGGUGGGUCUUUCCACAUUCUACCAACACAACAGAUGGUAAUACUACAGUGAAAAUUAACCAAUGAGAUGGGUCUUUCCACAUUCUACCAACCCAACAGAUGCUUCUACUACAGUGAAUAUUAACCAAUGAGGUGGGUCUUUCCACAUUCUACCAACCCAACAGAUGUUUCUACUACAGUGAAUAUUAACCAAUGAGGUGGGUCUUUACACAUUCUACCAACCCAACAGAUGUUUCUACUACAGUGAAUAUUAACCAAUGAGGUGUGUCUUUCCACAUUCUACCAACC